rnacentral:rRNA from 1 species
GAUGAACGCUGGCGGCGUGCUUAACACAUGCAAGUCGAACGGGAUCCAAGGAGCGUUUUUUGUUUUUUGGUGAGAGUGGCGAACGGGUGAGUAACACGUGAGUAACCUGUCCUUUUCUUUGGGAUAAGCUCCUGAAAGGGUGUUUAAUACCUUAUGUUCUGUCUGCCUCGCAUGGGGUGGGUGGGAAAGAUUUUUUCGGUGAAGGGUGGGCUCGCGGUCUAUCAGCUUGUUGGUGGGGUGAUGGCUUACCAAGGCUUUGACGGGUAGCCGGCCUGAGAGGGUGGUCGGUCACAUUGGGACUGAGAUACGGCCCAGACUCCUGCGGGAGGCAGCAGUGGGGGAUAUUGCACAAUGGGCGCAAGCCUGAUGCAGCGACGCCGCGUGGGGGAUGAAGGCCUUCGGGUUGUAAACUUCUUGUGCUCUGAACAAGGCGCAUCUUUGGGGUGUGUUGAGUGUAGGGGUUGAUUAGCGCCGGCUAACUACGUG